rnacentral:misc_RNA from 1 species
AGUUGCUGAUUGUGAACCUUCAAGCUCAAGAUGACCUUGGUAGUGAGACUGGCCUGUUUCAUCCUCCAACAACCAAGGCCUAUUCUUAUACUGCUCCAGCAAAGCACCCUUAAGUUGCUGUCCUCGUAGUCCUUUAUGGAGAAACCAUUUAUUCUUUGAAUCUUUCCCCUUCGGAAAAUUUGGCAACCCUGUCUGGAAUCUACCAAUAAAGUAGUUCUAGUUGCUAACAGGACUUGACCGAAUAUUACAUUCCUCAAAAGAAGAAGGAGAAGAAGGCAAACUCGAAUCAAAUGGGUAAUGGAGGCGCCACAGUCAUCGCAUUUGGCAAGAUUCUUGGCCAUGUUUUCGCCACAAGUGACGCAAAGAGUCAAGUGCAUACAGUUGGUUUCAUACAAUUUAGUAAACGUUCCACAUUCACUACAAGAACGAUUCAACAGAAGAUUCAACGACAUUUUUAUCCUCCACCUUCAAAACAAACAUCAAAAUUUUCCUAAAGGAACUGAAUAUUAAUUGAUUGAAUUGUGAAGUCGCGAAUUAGGGGGGAAAAAUUAUUUGACCUGCUGAGUAUUUAUAUGUGAAAAUGGUAUGCUCUUUGUUGCUUGCUGGGUUCGGUAGGUACACGCACAACUGCUGCUUCAACUGUUUUUGAUACAUUUUCGUUUGUCCUGCUGCUUUGGCCUUGGAGGCAGUGGGGGUGGCGAUGGUCCAGUUUCGAACCGCAACUGGUUGGAUCAAAAUCGGAUUGAAACCUGAUCAUAAUGGAACAGCUUCGAAUCAGAUCAAAAUCACUUUCUGCGAUUUUUUGGUUCAG